AAACCACCAGCAGUGUUCUUUCCUUCACUUUAUAUGAACUGGCCACUCACCCUGAUGUCCAGCAGAAACUGCAAAAGGAGAUUGAUGCAGUUUUGCCCAAUAAGGCACCACCUACCUAUGAUGCCGUGGUACAGAUGGAGUACCUUGACAUGGUGGUGAAUGAAACACUCAGAUUAUUCCCAGUUGCUAUUAGACUUGAGAGGACUUGCAAGAAAGAUGUUGAAAUCAAUGGGGUAUUCAUUCCCAAAGGGUCAAUGGUGGUGAUUCCAACUUAUGCUCUUCACCAUGACCCAAAGUACUGGACAGAGCCUGAGGAGUUCCGCCCUGAAAGGUACAAGUCUCCAGGGAAAUGGAGCUCACCCUGACCCAGGCUGGUUCAAGCAUAUUCUGCCUCUCUUAAUCUACAUGACAAUCGUGUGGUUGUACAAUCAUUUGCUUGUAAGUCUUUUUAUCACAAAAAAGUGAUAAUUAUCAAACUUUACAAACCACAGACUAGAAAAAACGAAACUACAUCCAUCCACAGUCCCAGCACAAGACAAAGAUAAUCAAUUAUGUCCCUGUGGGCAUUUUUCUACGCCUAUAUAGAUUUUUAA
rnacentral:lncRNA from 1 species